rnacentral:pre_miRNA from 1 species
UGUGGAAUUUCUGGGUUGUAUAGUAAAUUUAUAUUUAACUUUCUAAGAAACUGCCAAACUGUUUUCCAAAGUGAUUGCACCAUUUUAUAUUCCCACAAGCAAU